rnacentral:rRNA from 1 species
GCUAAGUACGUGGCGGCAGCGGCGGUGAUACGGAGGGGGCGAGGGAUAAUGGGAAUUACUGGGCGUAAAGCGUGCGCAGGCGGUUUUGUAAGACAGGUGUGAAAUCCCCGGGCUUAACCUGGGAACUGCAUUUGUGACUGCAAAGCUGGAGUGCGGCAGAGGGGGAUGGAAUGCCGCGUGUAGCAGUGAAAUGCGUAGAUAUGCGGAGGAACACCGAUGGCGAAGGCAAUCCCCUGGGCCUGCACUGACGCUCAUGCACGAAAGCGUGGGGAGCAAACAGGAUUAGAUACCCCGGUAGUC